AGGAUAAACGCUGGCGGCGUGCCUAACACAUGCAAGUCGAACGUCCUACGCAAGUAGGGAGUGGCGGACGGGUGAGUAACACGUGGGCAAUCUACCUUUCGGUGAGGAAUACCGGCGAGAAAUCGCCGACAAUACCGCAUACGCUUCGCAAGAAGCAAAGUCGCAAGACGCCGGAGGAGGAGCCUGCGCCCGAUUAGCUGGUUGGUGGAGUAAUGGUCUACCAAGGCGACGAUCGGUAGCUGGUCUGAGAGGAUGAUCAGCCACACUGGGAUUGAGAACGGCCCAGACUCCUACGGGGGGCAGCAGUGAGGAAUUUUGGUCAAUGGGGGAAACCCUGAACCAGCGACGCCGCGUGGACGAUGAAGGUUUUCGGACCGUAAAGUCCUUUUGGCAGGGAAAAUUUUGAUUGUACCUGCAGAAUAAGAGGUUGCUAACUCUGUGCCAGCAGCCGC
rnacentral:rRNA from 1 species